UUAUGCCAAAUGGCUUUUAUGCCAAAUGGCUUUAUGCCAAAAGGCAUUAUGCCAAAUGGCUUUAUGCCAAAUGUCAUACUCCCCUGGAAGGAGUACCGUUGAGGUCAAGGAAAAGUAAACAACGUUAAAACUAAGGAAUUUCAAUGGAAGGAGUUGAAGGAGAAAGUCGACGCCGAAACUGAAAACGCGACCAAGGCAGUGGGAAUUAAUAAACAGUUGCGGCAGCUUCGGUUGGUGCGAUAACGAUGUCCAUCCCUCCGGUUAGAAAGCCAGUUGUAUCACCGGCACUGGCCAUCGCUAGCAAUUUGCUUGCCGUCUUUGUACGAUAGGGUCGGCAUAGAAUUUGUUCUCAGCUAUGGAUUAGGCCAUGGCUGCGACGCUGGCGGCCACCGAAGUUCCCGAGAACCCUGCCCAAAAAAUGGAUAAACAAGAAACCGCACCGACAUCCUGAAUCCUGAACAAAAAUUACGGCAACAGGGUCAUCAGCUACAUUAUAACAUUCGUUCUGCUGGUCCAUGCUACAUGUGACUUUAAUGGUUUUCUAUCUUGCACACGUUCUUCAAAACCACGUUAAAAAUCAAAAUUCAGGAUAUGGUUCUUGCUUCCGGAACAACAAGCAUAGGUACCUGGUGGCAAGCGACAGUGAGGAAACAUUCGAGGCAACCUGGGCCAAGAUGACUAUUCCGAAUCGACCCAUCGACGGUUUCGAAAGCAACGACUCAAGUGAACACGAUAGGCAUUUCGAUUUCACUUAAACCGGAUCAACAUUUUUAAGACGACGAUACCUCUUAUAAUUCCGUUUAUAUAUUGUCUUUUAAGGAACCAGAUGUGUUCUUACUAAUUGAAAAUUGAUGUUUUCACUUAAUUAAAUUAAAUUAAUUCAAA